GCUUGCCCCAUCCCCCAUAUAUUUGGCGCUGUCAUCCCUCUGAAUCGCUGAGGGUUUUCUCAAUCUGGAUUGGUAAGAGUCCGUUUGAGGAAAAAUAUUGUAUUUAGAGGAUAAACUUUGCAGAGGCCAAGCGGAAAAAUAUCCAGGUACGCUUCAUUUUUAUUUAUUUAUUUUUUUAAUACAAAUUAGGAGUCGGGUUUGCUCUACUCCAAUCGAUUAAUAAGUGAAAUUUUCAAAUUUAUUUUAAAAUCUAAUUAAAAUAAUUUAAACUCGAUACUUACAAUCAAAAUAUUAUUUAAUUUUACUUAUAUUUACAUAUUUAAUUAAUAAUUUAUAUAUUUCAUAUUUAAUUAAAAAAAAGAACACUUUAAUCAUUAAAAUAUUAUUAAAAACAACAGUUUAAUCUCAUUUUAGUGCAUAAAAAAGUUUCAAAAAAGUAAUUUUUUUUUUUU
rnacentral:misc_RNA from 1 species